GUAAAAUUAGUUUAUAAAAAAUACUAGGUUGUGGGCUUAGAGAAAAAGUUAAUUUAUUUUACU
rnacentral:tRNA from 2 species